UUUGGCGUCACUUCAGCAUAUAAUAAAAUUGGAACCAUAUAGAGAAAAUUAACAUGGCCCCUGGGCAAGGGUAACAUGCAAAUCCAUGAAGCGUUCCAUAUUUUU